rnacentral:lncRNA from 1 species
AGUCGUCGUAGGUGAGGCAGUCGGCGCUGGCAAAGAGCUGCUGCGCGGGGAGCCAGUUAUCGGGCACAUAGUCGGUGCCGCCCCUGAUCAGCCAUGUGAAGACCAUGAUUGCUUUCCCUUCAGCCUUCCACCUUUGUAAGUUUCCUGAGGCCUCCCCAGAAGCAGAAUCCUGCAUAGUCUGCAGAACUGAAACUCUGCCAAUGUGUCAGUGGUGGACCUGACCUGCCGUCUGGAAAAACCUGCCAAUUAUGAUGACGUCAAGAAGGUGGUGAACCAGGCAUCGGAGGGCCCCCUCAAGGACAUUCUGGGCUACACUGAGCACCAGGUUGUCUCCUCCGACUUCAACAGUGACACCCACUCUUCCACCUUCAGUGAGGGGGCUGGCAUUGCUCUCAACGACCACUUUGUCAAGCUCAUUUCCUUGUAUGACAAUGAAUUUGGCUACACCAACAGGGUGGUGGAUCAUGGUCCACAUGGCCUCCAGAAAGUAAGACCCCUGCACCACCAGCCCCAGCAAGAGCACGAGAGGAAGAGAGAGGACCUCAUUGCUGGGGAGUCCCUGCCACACUCAGUCCCCCACCACACUAAGAAUCUCCCCUCUUCACAGUUUCCAUGCAGACCCCCUGAAGACGGAGGGGCCUAGGGAGCCUGACCUCGUCAUGUACCAUCAACAAAGUCCCUUGUGCUCAGCCAAUAAUAAUAAUACAGGUAUAAAGUAUUAUUGAAAAAUGCUAAGAGAGUGGAUGUUGUUUGUAGCACAAAAUGCAACUCUACUAGGUAACGCAUAUAUUAAUUGGAUAGACUUAGUCAUUUCACAAUCUAUAGAUAAAUCAAAACCUUAUGUUGUACAUGAUAAAUGUGUAUAAUUUUAUCUGUCAAUUAAAAAUAAACAAAUUUACUAAUGGUAAUCUAAUAAAGUAAUGUUUAAGCAGGACAUUCAGCACUUAUAAUUUCUGUGUGUAAAUAUCUAAAAUUUUUCAUCUUGAAUGAUACAGAGUUACCACGUCAUACUGAAUGACAUAGAAUAUCUUCUGUACUCCUAAUUUCCCUGUUAUCCUAGUAAUAGAUCCAAAUAGAUACAAGAGUGGCCCUGUUUCUUACACCUAAAUAAAACUUAUUAAACACAGAUAAUAUUACAUACAUGAAAAAGGAGAAAAAAUAAAAAUAUUGGGAAAUGUAAAGAAGAGCUAGAAAUAAGACAUUAAAAGGCCUUGUAUUUUAUUAAAAACUCUUGUGAAUGCGGGAUGGUCUAAAAUUUUGAGUCUGAUCCUUCUAGUAGAUCAAGUUACCAAGUGUAUGGUCUGUGGUAUGAAAUUAAUCAAUUUCUAGGAAGAAAUGCUAUUAUACUCUGAACUAAAUGCAAACAGAAAAUGUAGGAUUCUCUCAAAGAGAACAUUCUGUAAUUCAAUGUAUAUGUUUCUCACGUGAAUUACAAUAAUAAAAAAUGUGGCAAGUUGCAAAGGGCUGUUUCUUAUGUUCAUCAAUAAAGACCUAUAAUCAGGCAUAAAAAAGUAUUCUAUAGCAAUUAAAUAUAAUGUGGUCCUUCAAUCUGUUGAUUUGACUUCACCUAGGAAUAGACUUUGAAUUAUCUGAAAAAAUAAAUGCACUAAAUAUCCUUUGAGUAACCCUGACUAUAUAUUCUUUCUCUUGAAAGGGAUUUUUAGUAAAUAUAUAUUUGAUAAAUACAAUUCUUGACGAAUAAUGAGGGUGAAGCUCUCUUACUGGAAUAAGAUUGAAAGCUUUUUGUGUCUGAAAAUAAAGGCCAUUUACUUUCUAUACUCAAGUGAAUUUUAAAAUGUAUUCCCAAGACAACGUUUUUCAAAACUAAUAUAUAGAUGAAAAAACUAAUUGAUGUUUCAAAGAUAUACUCAGAGUAGCAUAGUUAACAACUACAACUAUGACAAAAAAACAAAAAACAAGCAAACAAACAAAAAACAAACCCAUAAACACACCAAAGGAAAGAAAAGAAAUACUAAAAGCAUCAAUGGAACCCAGAAAAGCUACUUUUGGAAUAGCUUCCAGAAUAAACAUCUUGUGACAUUUAUGCUGGUGAGGUUUAUUAUUGUAUAGACUUCAAUUGAUUUCAAUCCAAAUCAAAUAUAGAUUUAAAAUAUUUGAUGAAAUAUAUGCCUGUGUUACAGAUAAUAUAUGCUUAUUUAUUUUCCAAUUUAAGCAUAACUCUUAAUAAUUUUUAAAACAAUUUUAACAUGCCUUUGACCUGUAAUGAACAACUACAGAACCUGAAAGUUGAUUAAAGAUUCAGUAGUAACAUAAGUAAUAUUUGUGGUAAAAUAUUGAUUUAAAAAUAAUGUAAACUACAUUAUUAAAGCUAUUUAAAUAGGCCAUGGGAGUCAGGGAAGACAAAAGGUCUAAAUACUUUUCUCUUCAAUAUUUUGUUUUAUGGAAAUAUUUUUAUAUUGAAAUAAUUGUAUUUAAAUUUAGAUUUUGUGAUAAAAGUUAAUUUAAAGGUAUGAACUAUAAAACCACCACAGGAAAGAGGAUAAUGUUUCAACAGUUACUUGUUAAUGUAACAGUUUAUACAAUAAAAAGUAACCCACAGUAUAGGAUUUUUCACAUUUACAAAGUGUCAAGUGUUUACUUCUUCAUCAAUAUCGCCUACAUUUUCAUUAUUUAACAUCUUUGCCCAAUUCCCACUGUAACCAAGUGUAUUUCCAUGCAGUCAAGUUACUACCCAGCUUAGUUUGAGGUUAAAUGUAAAAAGCUUUGACGUUUUCUGUUCUCAGAGUCCUCCUGCAGAAGCCUUUGUUCUGACCUUUCACCCACACCCCCAGGACUUCUAUUCACUAAAAAUGUGGAAUUAUCCAUGCUAAUCCUGGAAUUCUGGUCAUUAAAAGAAAAAAAAUUGUGUAUAUCAUUCUCUGCAUCAAUUUCAAAAGUUAUUCUUCACACCUAUAUUUAGAGAUGCAGCUGAAGCUUAAAAAUAUUCAAUUGGGCAUAUAAUUUUAUAAAAAUAGAGCGUUCUAAAAAGAAUUGAGAAUCAUGUAAAAUUUAACCUGUUUUUACUGGAUCUAUAAGUCAAUAUAAAAUAUUUAUUUUUCUGUGUACAUUCCCAUAUCUACUUAAUGACACUGUAUCAUGUUGAUUUUGUCUUUUUUCUUUCAUUAGCCUAUAUAUUCUUCAUGAGAGUAAAUAAAACUAAUCGUGUCUUAAAUAUCGACUUCUAUUGUUAUUUUGAAUCUUCCUAAGGGUAUAGGUCAAGGUUUAUUCAUUCUUACCUUACCUUCUGUUUUAGCAUUUAAGACAGCUCAUAGUAGACAUUGGAAGAUUGGUUAAAUUGCUAUUUAAAUGACCUAGAAUACAAUUGUUUAAGUAAUUUACCAACCUUUGCAAAGCUGAAUUAUAUUUGUGUAUUCUGUCAAUAUUACAUAAUAUUAAGGUUCUGAGAUGUGUUCUUUAUCUUUAUUCAGCUUUUCCUAUAUUCUAGAAAAUUUCACCUUCUUCAUAAUAAUUUCUUAGAAACUUGUGUUUUUUUUUCUUUUUUUCUUUUUUUUUUUUUUUUAGAUGGAGUCUUGCUCUGUCACCAGGCUGGGGUGCAGUGGCGUGAUCUCGGCUCACUGCAACCUCCGCCUCCCAGGUUCGAGCUAUUUCCCCUGCCUCAGCCUCCCAAGUAGGUGGGAUUACAGGCACGCACCACCACGUCUGGCUAAUUUUUUUUUUUUUUUUUUUUUUUUGGUAUUUUAGUAGAGACGGGUUUCACCAUGUUGGCCAGGAUGGUCUCAAUCUCCUGACCUCAUGAUCCACCCGCCUCGGACUUCCAAAGUGCUGGGAUUACAGGCAUGAGCCACCAGGCCCUGCUGAUACUAUGGACUAAAUUGUGUCUGCCCCCAAAUUAUAUAUUUAAGUUCUAACCCUCAAUCUGGUUAUAUUUGGGCAUGACACCUUUAAAAAGUGAUUACGGUUAAUGAAGUAAUAAAUGCGUAUCCCUAAUCUAAUAUGACUGAUGUCUUCCCAAGAAGAGGAAGAGAUGUCAGGGAUAUGCAAACACCCCUGUGAGGAUGCAAUAAGAAGGUGACCCUCUGCAAACAGAGAAGAGAGGCCUGAGGAGAAUCCACACCUGCCAACACCUUGAUCUUGGACUUCCAGUUUCCAGAACUGUUACAAAAUAAAUUUCAGUUGUCUAACCUUCUAGUCUAUGGCUUUCAUUAUGGCAGCCCUUGCAAAUUAAUACAGUUAGCUUGGGCCAGCUCACAGAACUUAACACCAAAGUGAAAGCUGGCAAAAAUUUCGAAAAUUUUAUAAGUGGAAUUUUUUAAAUUAUCUAAUUUUAAACACUUCCUUAUUAUUGAGUAGGCCAUUUCAUUUUUUUCAAAGAUAAAAACAAAGAAAUAUAUUUUAAUUUGCAGAAGAGCAACUUAUGUUAACUGAAGAAAAUGCUUACUGAAUAUGAAGUUAAAGUAAAAUGUGUUAAAAGAGCCUCCCUUAAAUUAUUUUAGCUAGAAGCAUAAAUCUGUCUCUAAACAUUCUGUGAUAGCAAAAUGAAUAUAAAUAGCAUAUUAUGCCAUUAUAAAUAGCAGUUUUAAGUGAUAUGAUUAAUAACUGUUAGUUCUGGAGUCAUAUGCUAAUCUUUGUGGAAGCAGAAGCUGGCUCAUAUACUGACAACCUCUGUUUGCCCUACUAAUAAUUCAACCCCUAGUUGCUAUUGUCACAUUGAACUACAAAUUCCUAACAGAAAUUACUCCAAAACCUAGGAAAUGAAACAGAUGCUAACAUUUCAAGAAAGCCUUCAGGACAAGAACAUUAAAAAAUCAUUUUCAUGUAGUGCUUGAAGUAAAUCAAAUCUGCUGGUAUUUCAUGUGCUUAAGCGAUCACAGCUUUCCCAGCCAGUGAGUAUCUUUAAAAGAGAGGUUUCUGUCUUUCAUAUCAAGUAUUAUUUUGAUUAAAAUAAUCAUUUAAUGAACUAGAUCUGGAAGAAGUCAAAGGUCUUUUAUAAGAUUAUGACAUAAUAAUAUCUUAGAAAAAUCUCUUAUUUACUGAACCACUAUUUAUUUUCAAAGAAUAGGAAAAACAUUAUGAUAAAGCUCAUCGAAGGUAUAACUUAUAUAGGCUAAUAGUUAUACUUAGAUUUCUUCUUCUUUGAUUUUUUUUUCAAAAGAAAAAAAUUUUUUUUAAGUUUUUUAAAAGAAUGCAUUAAAACCAGUUAUAAAUUCUUGUCCACUACUGCCAGGAAAAACAAUAAAUCAGUAGGGCCUCAUGCAACUUAUUUGGAAGUCCAAAAUUGAUGGUAAAUAUUAUAAUAUGAAUUUACAUUUCAGAAAAAUAUAUGUUCAAGUGCAUUGUGAGUGAAAAAAUAAUAAUUUUGAAAUAUGCAUGUAAGAGAUGUACUCUUCUGAGAGUAGAGGUGUAGGGAACACUAGGUUCAGAACAGAGGAAGAAAGAGUAAAUUUUUAAUAUCUAGUCUUGGUUUAUUGAUACACAAAUACAGUAAUAAUCCAUAUCUAGAGUUUUACUUUCAAAUAGAUUUAACAUAUCUGAAUAUUGGAUACUUUGCAUGAGUUUUGUGAAAAGAUUGAGUUAAAGGUUUCAAAGCCAUUUGAGAAUUUCCUUUGAACACACUAAAGGGUAUCUGUGAAUACUGGCUUAUUAUAUCAUGGCUGAUUUACAAUAAUUUACGUGUUGCCUUUCUUAGCUGGAACUGUAUGUGCCAGGAAUAGAUUAAUCCUUAUGGUUACAUAGAUCAGCAGCAAGACCUCCCACGUGGAAGUACCUAUAUUCAUCUUUGUCAUCUGAAAAUAACUUUAUUAGAAAAUAUCACAUAUCUUCUUAUUGCCAGCCAGGUGACUCAUAGGAAAGUACAAGAUAACUGAAAUCAGCUACAUAAUCCUAUAGUUCAUGCACUAUUUUCAAACACUUUGAAACUUACUGUUGGUAAGUAAAUGUUUAUCUUAAUUAUAUCUAAAUAAUCUCUUCCAUAAUUACUCUUGUGAUUGAAACCUUGUUAGGCCUCAGAAGCCUCUCGAUAUCAAAAUAACUCAUAAAUUCCUACUUUUAUUUGCACCUCAGAACAUGAGACUUCCAGCAUCCUGGAAAGUUCAAGGUGUUUCUUAAACUCUCUAAAGGGAUGGUUUGCAAGCCAGUCUCUUUCAUAGGACCACCAUAGGCCAUUCUUUCUCUAACAGUCCGAUUUAAUUUGUCCAUGACUUCUGCCUUUAUAGUCAACUGGAAUGCCUUUACUCUUGCUACUAUGUACUAUUUUAUGCUGACACUAUCUCCUGAUGCUCUCAAAGUCAUCAACUCUUGGGCUGCCAGAGUCCUGCUACAUUCUGUGCACAACUGGUGAAAAAUGGCCUUCAAUUUUACCCUCUGCUGUGUUGCCAUCUGGGCCCUACGGCAGCACAAUUCCUGUCAAGUGUUUUAUUAAUUCCCUCAUAAAAACACCAUUUUCAUCUUCAGCUGUCUAGAAGCUCCAAACCAGUUCAGUGUCCAGUAAGCAUAGACACCAUGCCACCCUUUGAGCCUUUACAUUCUCAUCGUCGCAAGUUGGAUCUCCCAAACAAAAGAAAACCAUCCAACUUUCUUUUCCCUCUUCAACAAAAUUCAAAGCUUCUUGGCACAUUAUUUCAAGCAUACAGAUGCUGGUGGGAGUGUAAUAGGAAGUGGACAAAAGGAAAGAUAUUUGGACCAAGUAUUUUAUCCUGGCUCCACCUUAUGAAUAAAAGGAAAGUAGACAUUGUCAGGAAUUCACUGAUGUAGCAUUAAAAAAUCUAUUACCAAGAGAUCAAAGGUAGCUAGCAGGAAAUAAGAUAAAGGACUGACACCCAAUUGUAUCCACAGGGCAAGUGUUUUUAUUACUAAAAUUCCAAUAAAAAAUUAGUGUUUCUAGAAAAUAGAUAUUUAUAUCUGUGUUCAGGCAGAUUAAAAAAUCAAUGAGUUUUAAAAAUUACAUUUAAUGAACAGAGUGAUUUAUGGUUUGUUUUUGCUUUACUAAUGUGCCAGCUCGAUGUCUCUAAUAACAAGUCUGGCUUGAUAGCCCUGCUAACAAAUCCAGCUUCAUCUAGUACAAUAGAAUAUAUUUUUUCUGAAUUCAUUUCCAUUUACUAUCUGCUCAGUUUCUUAAAUUAGAAAAUAACUUGACUAAUUCAAUGGACAAUGGAUUGGAUAUGAAUCUAAAAUGAGGCAGUUUCCUGAAGCCCAGACUUAACUGUAUGUGGCAAUUUGCUUUGGGGCAUUGUGCAAGAGAAGGUUUCUCAAAUUUGUCUAAUAAUAGUGAGGCUCUUAUAGUAAAUAUCACAGAAUGCUUUGUUAAAUUUGAAGUUCAACACAUAAGAAAAUGUCCAGAAGAACACAUUAAUGUCCAGAAGACAUUACCUAAUCUUGUCUUUUAGAAAUUAUCAGCAACAUUGUGUUGCUGAUAACUUCUAAGAGACAAGAUUAGGUUGUUUGUGGACAUUUAUGGAAUAGUCAGUACAAAUGUAUUGAAGAGAAAUGGUAUAAUUCUGAUUGUGACACUAGAUUACUAUUCUGUUUCUUUUAACUUUCUUGCUUCUCAAUUUUUAGUGUAAAAUAUGAGGGGGGUAUAUUAAAAAGAUAAAAGGAUCUUUGUAAUCCUAAGGAGCUAGGAAGAUAGUCUACUAGAAGAUAUAAAUAUAGGGAUUUUGAAAGCUCUGUGUUCAGAAAUGGCAUCAAAGUAAUAAAGUUCCAAUAGAGAAAAGGAAUUACAAUUCACAUUACAGUAUUUAGAUAGGACUGUAAGAGAAAUAAAUAGCUCUUCCUUAUUUCUCGUUUAAAAUUUCAGACAAAUUUGACCUUCAAAGAUAUGUCUGAACAAUAACAAUAGAACAUAAUAGAAAAAUUGUUCUGACUGCAAAGAAAUAGACCUUUCCCAACAGUCACUUCAAAAUGCAAACCAGAAUGUAUGGUCUAUAUUGUUUUUAAUUUAAUAUAUCUAUGUGAACAAGCAUACUUCUUCCUCAUUUUCAUUGCAUAAAUUUUUACUUGGAAUGCCUUUGAAGUUAAACCAAUGUGCUUCAAAGUUACAUGUAUGUAUGGUUUUUUUUUUUUUACCAACUGUACAUAUGUCUACAAUUUCCCACCAAAUAUGGUAUCAAAUAUGUAGAAUCUGAGAUGUUAUAAAAGCAUUCAAAAUCAUAUUUUCCUCAUAAAGGAAACACAAAAUUGACCUUAAUAGGAUAUUAUUGAGGAAUAUUUUAAUUAUCUGGUUAUAAAUUCUAAGGUUUCCCAAGAUUUAGAAAACUUACUCUUGGAUGGCAAAAUUUACUCUAAAGUAUUUUGCAAUUGUGUGUGUGAUAGUGUUUGAAGUGACAGGGAAACCUAUGUAUCCUGGAAACCUAUGUGUCAAGGCAUUGUUUUCUGGAUCAUUUAUUGGCAUAUCCAAAGGCUUGGGAAAAAACUUAGGAUAAAUAGAGAAUAAUGAACUUUUUCAGAAAUAAAUAACUAAGAUUACUCCAUGCAAUAGAAUCCCAAAUGAUUUGAAGUUAGACUUUAUUAUUAGUUAUACAGUAAAUGUGAUAAACAAGUUUACCCUGUGUGAUACAAAAAAUAAAAAACUGCAGCAUGACCAUAAUUUUUUCUUUAUAGAUAAGGGGCUCUCAUGCUUAAAGUCUGAUUAACAUAGCCACAUCUGAUUUCAAAAUAUAGAUAUGCCCAAUGAGGUAGUUCUUCACAAUGGGAAUCGCUGGUUAGGUGUUGGUUACCCAAUUUCUUUUAUUUAAAGUUUAAUGGAUAUUUGAUGCCAUAUAGACAAAACAUUUGGAAGGAGUUUCAAAUUCCCAUCUGGAGAUAGGUGUCAUAUAAAACAGCCUAAAAAAAAUAAGAAUGGUUUAAAAGGCUUGCUUGAGUUAACUAAUGGUUGGCAGGUCCAUUUGCCAGGCUUAUUGAAUCAAGCUUUACCCUCCUUUAAAUGAGGGGUCUGUUUUUCCUUGGCAGGAAUGUUUUAGAUUCAGCAUAUUAAAAGCUGCAAAUAUUUGUGUUGGGUUUUCCUUUGUGAGCUAUCUACAGCAAUGUGAGAGAGCGAGUACAUUUAGCCACAGCAGGAACUUCCCAUAAAAUCACAGUAAAUGACUGUGCUUUUCUUAUAAGCCACACCCUUCCUAGGCAUUUCUCAAAUACUUUACAUAGAAAUGUGUUCACUUUAACAAAAAUCAAUAAAUGCAAAUAUUAUUUCAUUUGUUUUCAUUAACUAGUAGAAAUAGCAGUAAUAUAUUGUUAAUUAUAUUAGCAGGACCCUAUAGCUUAAUGCAACAAGUCAAAAGGCAUCUGGCCAUUCCUAAGUAUUGUGACUGAUGGAGUAAUAUAGACAAAAAAAUUGGAUAACCUUGGAAAAGUAUGAAGAUGUGCAGUUUACAAAGAGCUGGCUGAAAAUUAAGGAGAAAUGGCAGAUUUGAAACCGUGAUAGGUAUAAAUGAAUUGUGGUAUGGCCUGAUUAAAAAUUUUACUUCAUCAUAUUCAUACUGGAGUCUACAUAAUUUGGGAAGAAGAAAUAUUUUGUCAAAACUGAUAUAUCCCAUAAAAUAUAACUAACAUACUUUGCAGGGAAGCUUAAGGAAGGCCUGGGAGACAAAAUGGACAACAAAUGUAACAAUAAUAAUAUUUAAGUGCAAUAAGGUUUUUUAUAAUGUCAUUUUUUAAAAAAUAAAGUUUUUUAUAAUGUCUACAUAAGGGAAAUCAACACUGCAUUGACUAUUAGAAUUAGUUUGGGGGUCUAAUGGACUAUUCCUGAAAUUUGGACUGAGGGGUCAGAUUAUUAAUGGUAGACCUGAAUUUGUCUCAAAGAACAAUGUUUUGGAAUCUAAUAAAAUCUCUUCAGAUACUCUCUAUUUAACUGAUUGCUUGUUUCAAAGGUCAAUUCAUUUUGGAAAAAGAUUAUAGAUUUUUCUCACAUUUUAUGACAACAUAAAUGUUGACAACUUAUGUUUUUGUUAAUGUAUAGUGUUAUUCAUUAUCAAAAACAAAAACAAAAGCAAGCUAUUUGCUAAUAGUCAUGUCACAAAUAUAAUUAUUAUACAUAGAAUUAUACAGACCCAGUUGCAAUGGACCUUUCUUAACUUCCUUAUAAUUUAUUAUCCUUUUAAAACACAAGAGAAACCCAUUUGGUAUCUUCCACCCAUAGCUUGAAAGUCUUAUAUUUAUUUGCUUAUUAGUAGUACAUUUCCAUCUGAUACAUGUAAUAUUAGGUUGCAUUAUUCUAGAUCCAAUUUUUCCUUCUGUAAGUGAAGUUUAUGAAAUAAGGUUAGUUGUUCUAGUCACAAAUGCAUUGUACAAUGAAAAGCAUGGCAUUAUAACUCACUAUAUUUUCAUGAUAAGAAAAAAGUAUGCAUAUUUAUUGAUAAACGUAUUUUAAGUGUAUUCCUUAUAGUGCGGGAAGUGCAAAGAUGAAUGAAACACUCUAGUAAAGAGCAGUGUGCUUCAAGUUUUUCUGUUGACACCUUGUGUAAAAUAAUUUUGAAAGAACUUCAGCCAUUUCAACUGACAGAUCAGUUGUAAAGCAUGUAACUUUUGGCACAUUUUAAAUGUUGACAUUCUAAACUAUAACUGUUAUAUCAUUUUUAAAAAUUCACAAUGAAACAUAAAUAUAAAAGCAAUUCAAUAUCUACCACAUUCAUUUAAAAUAAAUGAGUUCUUCACAGCGGUUGGAAAUGGUACUUCAUUUCUUUCUCUCCUUGAAAUCAUAUCCCAGUCCACUACCCACCCUUCCUGUUAUAGAAUUUUAUUCUAUUAAAAUUUAUUUUUAUACUUUAAAUUAUUUUUAGUGAUACCCUGAAAGAGAGCCAGGAAAACUCAUUAUAUAGAAAAAAAAAGGAAUAAAGGUAGCACGGAGCAAGAAAGAAGAUAAAGUGACAGGGAAAUAGAUCAUUAGAUGAGCACGUAACACUUUAAAAUCUGUGAAGUUAUGGUGUCUGUCAUUUAUUAUUUUUUUUUUUUGCAGACGUGUGCAUUGCUGUGAUGUAAAUCUCUUCUAAUCUUUUCUCGUGAAAAUCUUUACCCUGCUCUAAAAUGUUUUGCAACAAAAUUUGUACACAGAUUAACAUUUUAUUUUGAAAGAAUCCUGUCCAAAUGGCGGCAAAUGAAUGUUUUUAAAAAGUUCUUCCAGAUUGCAUUAUCACUACAACUUUUAUAAAAAAUAAUGGCAAUAAUUAUCAUGUUGAUAAUAAUAGUGGCUAACACGUCUGGAAGGCUUACUAAGCUUCAAGCACGAAUCUAUACAUUACCUAUUUAUACCUCUACUUGUAGCUAUCUAUUUAUAUAGAGUGUCCACCAGGUCUGGAAACACAAACGAUAUAUAAUAAAUGAUUCACUGAUAUAUAUUAGAUUGUAAUACUUUCAAAAAGUAAUAUUUGAUUUUCUAGAGUUAUGAUCACCUUACAACAAUCAUGUAAGGUAGGUACUAUGCUUAACCCAGCUUACCUAUGAGGGACCUGAAGCUCAGUCAGUUUAUUAACUUUAACAUGUGAUUAAAAAUUGAUUAAUUCAAGAGUUGAAUCAGGCAGGCUGGUUUUAAAGUUUACACUCAAGAUCAAAAUGCAUUAUUAUAGACUUUGAUAUAUAUUUUGAUUCAUAAUUCAUCUUAAACAAAAGUAAAAUUUUAUUUACCCUAUAUUAUUUAAUGAGAUGAAGAAAGGGGAAGCUCACAUGUCCUUUUGAAAGGAGGCUUGGCAAACAUCAAUGUAUCCACCAUCCCUGUCCCCUUGUUUGUGGCCUAAGAGAUUGUUACACCUUCCAAAAAUGCUCUCUAGUAAGAUUCAGAAUGGGUGAUACAACACUUGUGUUUUUUGUGUGGGGAGGGAGACGUAGGUAAAAGAGGAAAAGGAAGAUUGUGAAAAGAGAAGUGGAAAAGGAUAACUAGCUGGAAGCUUGUAGCUUCGAAGUUUUCUCUGGCAGAUCAGUUUUAGGAAGGAGAUCAAAUCGAGUUUGAGAAUCAGGAAAUUGAUUUCUGUAAAAGAAGCUGUUUCUGCCUAUGUGGUAAGGGUAUGGAUAACUCACUUCAUAGGUCCUUGGUCUAGGGAAAAGUGUAACACAAAGUAAAUGAUGAAACUCAGUUCUAUCAAAAAUGAAAAUGUUGUUGCAUUUGAGAACCAUUAUGGUGGGCAAUGUAGUAAAAAGGAUAAGACAUUCAUCCUACUUUAAUGUAAAACAAAUUUGAAAAGAAAAAAUGAUAAGUAAAGAAUUUCAUGAAGGUAUUAUCGUCACUGCAUAUAAUAUGCUUUCUACUAAAUUUCAAUGGCAGUUUAUGUUUACCUACCAUAUUAAAUAAUUGCUAUUACAUUGGUAUCAUAAUUCCUCUUAUGAGAGGAACUGUUCUUUCUGAUAAAAGAAAUUAAAAAUCCACUUAGAGUAGAGCAGACUCUUGGUCAUAAAUGUUAUCAGGUGCUCAAAUAUCAGGGGAAGAAUUCUCCUCUCCAUGAAUCAAAUUAGAAAAUGCAUUACUUUUACUCAUGCAACAGAAGCUGGAAAAUGAGUGACAAAAAGAAAGAAUGGGGUAAAGACACAAUGAAGUCAAAAAGAGAGAGGCCAAAAUAGAUUAUUGGGAGAAAUAAGUGACAUCUAAAAAUGGUCAUUUCUACUAUUUGAUUUGAAGUUGUUUGCAUUGGUAGUAUGUGAACCUCUCCCAUAUCUGCUAUCAUGUAAAUCUUUAAUGAAGUCUACUGUCUGUGUGAGUGAAAUUUUUUACAGAGAUCAACACCAGGGCUGUUUCAGGGAUCAAUGCAAAGCAGAACAACUAUAUACACUAAAGAAGAGUCUGAUUAAGGGCAAAUUAACAAGGACAUUGCAGGGAAGCAUAUUCAUGAGGGAUUCCACCAUUUUACAGAAAUAAUAAUAAUAUGAAAAUCUUUUAGUGAUGAAGAAGUACUGGUAGACUUUCAUGGCACUUAAGAUGAGACCCUCAAGGCACAUGAUCAAGGAUGAUUACCAGUACUUACUUAUUUAAGCCAGUGUCAUAUUUAAGUCCCAGCUUUAUUUUGCUGUGGAACAUGUAAGUUAACAUAAAUGACAAGUCACACUGACCUCAUUUGGUUGAAUUUUAAUUACUUUAAUUGGAGACACUGCUCAUUAU